rnacentral:rRNA from 1 species
GAGUUUGAUCCUGGCUCAGAUUGAACGCUGGCGGCAGGCCUAACACAUGCAAGUCGAACGGUAACAGGAAGAAGCUUGCUUCUUUGCUGACGAGUGGCGGACGGGUGAGUAAUUUCUGGGAAACUGCCUGAUGGAGGGGGAUAACUACUGGAAACGGUAGCUAAUACCGCAUAACGUCGCAAGACCAAAGAGGGGGACCUUCGGGCCUCUUGCCAUCGGAUGUGCCCAGAUGGGAUUAGCUUGUUGGUGGGUAACGGCUCACCAAGGCGACGGUCCCUAGCUGGUCUGAGAGGAUGACCAGCCACACUGGAACUGAGACACGGUCCAGACUCCUACGGGAGGCAGCAGUGGGGAAUAUUGCACAAUGGGCGCAAGCCUGAUGCAGCCAUGCCGCGUGUAUGAAGAAGGCCUUCGGGUUGUAAAGUACUUUCAGCGGGGAGGAAGGGAGUAAAGUUAAUACCUUUGCUCAUUGACG